rnacentral:rRNA from 1 species
UACAGAGGGUGCAAACGUUGUUCGGAAUUACUGGGCGUAAAGCGUGUGUAGGCGGCCUCGUAGGUCGGAUGUGAAAGCUCUCGGCUCAACCGGGAAAGUGCAUUCGAAACCACAAGGCUUGAGUGUCGGAGAGGAGGGCGGAAUUGUCGGUGUAGAGGUGAAAUUCGUAGAUAUCGACAGGAACAACCUGCGGCGAAAGCGGA